rnacentral:rRNA from 1 species
AGCGAACGCUGGCGGCAGGCUUAACACAUGCAAGUCGAACGGGCACUUCGGUGCUAGUGGCUGACGGGUGAGUAAAACGGGGGAACGUACCUUUCGGUUCGGAAUAAUUCAGGGAAACUUGGACUAAUACCGGAUACGCCCUUCGGGGGAAAGAUUUAUCGCCGAUAGAUCGGCCCGCGUCUGAUUAGGUAGUUGGUGAGGUAAAGGCUCACCAAGGCGACGAUCAGUAGCUGGUCUGAGAGGAUGAUCAGCCACAUUGGGACUGAGAAACGGCCCAAACUCCUGCGGGAGGCAGCAGUGGGGAAUAUUGGACAAGGGGCGCAAGCCUGAUCCAGCCAUGCCGCGUGAGUUAUGAAGGCCUUAGGGUUGUAAAGCUCUUUUGUCCGGGAAGAUAAUGACUGUACCGGAAGAAUAAGCCCCGGCUAACUUCGUGCCAGCCGCCGCAGUAAGAC